GGGCGAUUAGUUCAAUGGUAGAAUCGUGGUCCUACACACCACUCACAGAGGUUCGAUUCCUCUAUCGCCUAC
rnacentral:tRNA from 1 species